rnacentral:rRNA from 1 species
UACGGAGGGUGCAAGCGUUAUCCGGAUUUACUGGGUUUAAAGGGUGCGUAGGUGGGUCUGUAAGUCAGUGGUGAAAUCUCCGAGCUUAACUCGGAAACUGCCAUUGAUACUAUAGGUCUUGAAUUAUCUGGAGGUAAGCGGAAUAUGUCAUGUAGCGGUGAAAUGGUUAGAUAUGACAUAGAACACCAAUUGCGAAGGCAGCUUACUACGGAUCGAUUGACACUGAGGCACGAAAGCGUGGGGAUCAAACAGG